rnacentral:rRNA from 1 species
UACUCGAGCGGCGAACGGGUGAGUAACACGUGGGUGAUCUGCCCUGCACUUCGGGAUAAGCCUGGGAAACUGGGUCUAAUACCGGAUAGGACCACAUUUUGGAUGGUGUGGUGGAAAGUUUUUCGGUGUGGGAUGAGCUCGCGGCCUAUCAGCUUGUUGGUGGGGUAAUGGCCUACCAAGGCGUCGACGGGUAGCCGGCCUGAGAGGGUGUACGGCCACAUUGGGACUGAGAUACGGCCCAG